GAUGAACGCUAGCUACAGGCUUAACACAUGCAAGUCGAGGGGCAGCAUGGUCUUAGCUUGCUAAGGCCGAUGGCGACCGGCGCACGGGUGAGUAACGCGUAUCCAACCUGCCUUACACUCUUGGACAGCCUUCUGAAAGGGAGAUUAAUACAAGAUGUUAUCAUGAGUAAGCAUUUUCGCAUGAUUAAAGGUUUACCGGUGUAAGAUGGGGUUGCGUUCCAUUAGAUAGUAGGCGGGGUAACGGCCCACCUAGUCUUCGAUGGAUAGGGGUUCUGAGAGGAAGGUCCCCCACAUUGGAACUGAGACACGGUCCAAACUCCUACGGGAGGCAGCAGUGAGGAAUAUUGGUCAAUGGACGAGAGUCUGAACCAGCCAAGUAGCGUGAAGGAUGAAGGUUCUAUGGAUUGUAAACUUCUUUUAUACGGGAAUAAACGGAUCCACGUGUGGAUU
rnacentral:rRNA from 1 species